UACGGAAGGUCCGGGCGUUAUCCGGAUUUAUUGGGUUUAAAGGGAGCGCAGGCGGGAUAUUAAGCGUGACGUGAAAUGCCGCGGCUCAACCGUGGAAGUGCGUCGCGAACUGGUUUCUUGAGUGUGCUCGACGUAGGCGGAAUUUGUGGUGUAGCGGUGAAAUGCAUAGAUAUCACGAAGAACCCCGAUUGCGAAGGCAGCCUACGAGGCCAUACUGACGCUAAAGCUCGAAGGUGCGGGUAUCGAACAG
rnacentral:rRNA from 1 species